AUGGCUACUGAGGAAAUUAUCGGUACUAGCGCUGCCGCUUCUGUCUCUGACAAACCAUUUAAGUUUGAGGGUUCCAAUUUCAAACGUUGGCAAGAUAAGAUGAAAUUUUUCUUAACUUUAAAGAAGGUUGCCCACGUUCUGACUGAGGAUAUCCCUGUUGCUCCAUCUGGAUCAAACGAACUAAGUAAUGGUAAGUCAACCGUGGAAUCAGACGAAACUUCUAAAACGUCUGACUUAGACUCUGCUGCUAAAGCUGUGGCAGAUAACUUACAGCUCCGAAAAGAAAUCGCCCUAUGGCAAGAAAGUGACUACCUCUGCAAAAAUCACAUUCUGAACAGUCUUACUGAUGAUCUCUAUGAUUACUACAGUAAUUACAAGACUGCUAAACAG